UUGUGAAGCAAGGAAAGCGGCCAUGCAGUAAUUUGUUAAUGUAAAUGAAAUCUUGUAGGAAAGGGAAUGGAUAAGAAUAUCCUUACCAGUGGACAAACAAAUAGCCUCCUGUAGGCUGUAUAAGGAAAAAUGAAUUUACUUUCUUUUAUAAGUUGCGUACCUGUCAAAAUAGACAUGAAUUGGCGUGCAGAGUACAGAUAACGCAACGAUCUGGAAAUUCAAUUCAAAUGAAUAAGAGUUGUGAUUUUUUUAACUGCUCAGGUGAGUUUUAUUAUGGAGAUUAUAUGGAGUUAACGAGGUCAGGAAAUGAGUUGAAGAUACUGAAGGGAAUACAAUUGCUAUAACUGCUAGCCUAAAAAGCGUUCAAACAUCGAUCUCUAAAUAACACAAAACAAGGUUCGAUCAAUUCAAAAUGAAAUGAAGAACAAGACCGGAGCCAUUGAAAAUUUCCUUUCCAUGAUUAAUCUCCUUAAGAAGUUCCGUUUGUUUCGUUGUACAAUUAACAAAAUUACGAAGGAGACAGUCCUGAAAACGUGAUGGCUUAUUUGUUAGUGGGAAGGUAUUCAUUUGAAGAGAAAACGAGCACUCAGGGUUGCUGCAACGAAUAUUGAAAAAGACGAGAAACUCAAACAGUUUGUAGAUUUUUCGUAAAAACACAAAUUAACCAACCUGAAAGUAACGUAAGUACUUUAUUUAAAUUUCAAAAUUUGCAUAAAGCAGGUCACAGUCAGGUAGUCAAAAAUAUAAACAAUGUUAAUUUUCAAUAGAAGAUUAAGUGAUCAUGUUUCCACACGAUAUUAGUUUAAAACAUCGUUUAACUCAUAUACGUACUCAACAAAAAUGCAUUUCUCUCUCACAAAUACUGUUGUCUUCAUCUUCAAGUACUUUUAAUUCCAAAAUGAAUAUGUUAUGUGAAAAAUAUUUCUAACUCUUGGUUAGGCUUAAAUUAUGGAAUUUCCUGCAUUUUUAAUUAUCUUUUUUCUCUAAGAUCUAGAAGCAUAAGUGCAUUGCAAUAUUAUGUCUAUGCAAUAUUAAAAUACAAUAUUUUCUGUUAUUCUUAUGCCAUUGAAGGAAGUAUUUACGACAAAGUUUUUGUUGAACAUACAUAUAUUUAUGCUGAACUGGCUUGGGGCAACGAUAUUUACAUUUUCAGUGAAGCAAAGUUUAUGGUACUCAACUUCCUAUGGUUUCAAAAUAUACUACGAGAUUUUUCAGGAUCAUGAGGAAACACACAAACUCUGUCUUGACCAAAACCACAAAGUUUACAGUUCAUUUCAUAUUCCUGAAAGUAAAAUCAACAUUCAUCAAUAUUUGUAGCCAUAAUCAUUUAGUAACCAGUAAAGAAAAUAAAAAUUCAAUCAAAGUUUA